rnacentral:rRNA from 1 species
AGUGAACGCUGGCGGUAGGCCUAACACAUGCAAGUCGAACGGCAGCACAGUAAGAGCUUGCUCUUACGGGUGGCGAGUGGCGGACGGGUGAGGAAUACAUCGGAAUCUACUUUUUCGUGGGGGAUAACGUAGGGAAACUUACGCUAAUACCGCAUACGACCUACGGGUGAAAGCAGGUGAGCUUCGGACCUUGCGCGAUUGAAUGAGCCGAUGUCGGAUUAGCUAGUUGGCGGGGUAAAGGCCCACCAAGGCGACGAUCCGUAGCUGGUCUGAGAGGAUGAUCAGCCACACUGGAACUGAGACACGGUCCAGACUCCUACGGGAGGCAGCAGUGGGGAAUAUUGGACAAUGGGCGCAAGCCUGAUCCAGCCAUACCGCGUGGGUGAAGAAGGCCUUCGGGUUGUAAAGCCCUUUUGUUGGGAAAGAAAAGCAGCAGGUUAAUACCCCGCUGUUCUGACGGUACCCAAAGAAUAAGCACCGGCUAACUUCGUG